CUACUUUCAUGUUGGAACACAGAAAGUCGGAAACGGUCCGCCGCCGGAGGACGUGACUGCGGCCGAUCAGGUAGAUGGUGGGGUAACGGCCCACCAUGCCGAUAAUCGGUACGGGUUGUGAGAGCAAGAACCCGGAGACGGUAUCUGAGACAAGAUACCGGGCCCUACGGGGCGCAGCAGGCGCGAAACCUUUACACUGCACGCCAGUGCGAUAAGGGGACCCCGAGUGCGAGGGCAUACAGUCCUCGCUUUUCGUGACCGUAAGGUGGUCACAGAAUAAGAGCUGGGCAAGACCGGUGCCAGCCGCCGCGGUAAUACCGGCAGCUCGAGUGAUAGCCACUUUUAUUGGGCCUAAAGCGUCCGUAGCCGGCCGAACAGGUCCGUCGGGAAAUCCACUCGCUCAACGAGUGGACGUCCGGCGGAAACCAGUCGGCUUGGGGCCGGGAGACCAGAGAGGUACGUCCGGGGUAGGAGUGAAAUCCUGUAAUCCUGGACGGACCGCCGGUAGCGAAAGCGUCUCUGGAGAACGGACCCGACGGUGAGGGACGAAAGCUUGGGUCUCGAACCGGAUUAGAUACCCGGGUAGUCCAAGCCGUAAACGAUGCUCGCUAGGUGUGGCGUUGGCUACGAGCCAGCGCUGUGCCGUAGGGAAGCCGAGAAGCGAGCCGCCUGGGAAGUACGUCCGCAAGGAUGAAACUUAAAGGAAUUGGCGGGGGAGCACUACAACCGGAGGAGCCUGCGGUUUAAUUGGACUCAACGCCGGACAUCUCACCGGCACCGACAGUGUGCAGUGACAGUCAGUCUGAUGGGCUUACUUGAGCCACUGAGAGGAGGUGCAUGGCCGCCGUCAGCUCGUACCGUGAGGCGUCCUGUUAAGUCAGGCAACGAGCGAGACCCGCGUCCCUAAUUGCCAGCAGCAGCCUUGUGCUGGCUGGGUACAUUAGGGAGACUGCCGUCGCUAAGACGGAGGAAGGAACGGGCAACGGUAGGUCAGUAUGCCCCGAAUGUGCCGGGCGACACGCGGGCUACAAUGGCCGAGACAGUGGGACGCUACCCCGAGAGGGGACGCUAAUCUCCUAACCUCGGUCGUAGUUCGGAUUGCGGGUUGAAACCCACCCGCAUGAAGCUGGAUUCGG
rnacentral:rRNA from 1 species